UCGCGUUAGAAACAGCAACAUUUAUCUGGGUUUCAAUUUUGUUUUGAUUAUUCGUGAGCGACUGGGAGACAGAUGAUAAGGCAUCUCUCAUCUUUGUCAACUCACUCAAAACAUCAUCUUUCCCACCGUCAUCACAGGCUGAUAAACACGAAACACAUUUAAACACAAUAUUCUCAUUAUCAUUAACGACUUUCGCUGCUAUUUUCGUAAGGGGCGUGCAAACUCAAAAUUUCACUUGAGCCUUUGGAACCAGUGGUUAAAAUUAUCAUUUGAGUUUCAUAACAAUGAAACUCUGCAACUUCUGCACGUAGUUGAUAUAUGUUGCCAUGAUCAUCGGUUUCACUACCUGUUAAACUAUAUAAACAAAAUUGUUCAUCGUUACUCGGCGUCUCAAAGUGAACAUACAACAUGAGAGAUAUUGAAACGGCAGAUUUUCGGCUCGGUUCAUUCAUCAAUUCAAACGUAGCAACCGGGAGAGUGAAACUCAAAGAUGAAAAAAUCAAUUUCGUUUGGCGGUGCUGACUUUUUUCGAAGUGUUUUUAAGAAAUAUUUAUUCCGUUACUAAAAAAAAAAACCUAAAAUGAGUGGUGAUAGAGGAAACUUUUCUUGUGAUAAUGGUGACAUCAGAACAAGAAAGCGUAGUGCAGAAAAGCGUACGUUACAGGACAUAUUGUAAAAGAAACGUUGGAAAACAUUCUUCUGGCGAAGCUGAAUCGGGAGGUGUUCGAACACAUCCUACAAACGCACGGUUGGAAGGACAAUGUUGUAACUGAAUAAUCUGUCCAAACCAGUCUACCGUUCCAUGUUACGUUUGUUUCUAUAUGAAAAGGAAUUUUUAAAUUAUAUAAAACUUAUGAAAUAUCCUCUAGUGAAUAGCUCCACAAGUAUAUUAACACCUGACACACAUUACUAAAAUAAUA